rnacentral:lncRNA from 10 species
CAGGGAGCCAAGGAUGGAAGGAUUCCAGGGAAGUUUUCCUGCACAAACUCUUCUCUUGACUGCCACCACGUGAGACAUCCUUUCACCUUCUGCCAUGAUUGUGAGACCUCUCAAGCCACAUGGAACUUUACAGGUUUGUGUGAGGCCCAACUUUCUUCAUCUACUUCAACCAAAACAAUGUAUCAUCUCAGACUGGGUGCAGAAGCAGCUAUGGAACCACAGCUGUUUUCUAUUAAGCCAGACAUUAAAGCAACUUAUAAAAAUGUGAAACGAUGCCACUCUUCUCACUAAUAUUUUCAUUGAAAGUAUCUUAUUUAUAUUAUUAUAUAAAGGGCUUAUUUUAAUAAAGAAAUAAAUUCUUAAAAUCUUUCUUAACUUUAAUUUCUAGUACAAUAAACAUUAGCUAUUAAUAUAACCCAUGUAAACAAAAGCUCUUUGGAGUCCUCAAUAAUUUUUAAAGAGUAUUCAUGGGUCCUGAGACCAAAAUGUUUGAAAAUCAUUUCCUUGACCUUGGUUUGAUUCCUUUCUAAAAAAUCACCAAAUCUAAAAAUAUGAACUACAUAGUUGAACCUGUAAGUCAACAAUCAAUUGUACUGUUUAAGAAAAUCUUACUAACAGGUAUGGAUUGGGGAUUUUUUUGAAGCCUCUCU